UGUAUGUGCAUGUGUGUAUAGUUUUGUGUGCAUGUGCAUGUGUGUAUAUGAAUAGACAUAUACAUCCACACAAACAUAUACAAGCAAGCACAGAUACA
ensembl:miRNA Mir669m-1 microRNA 669m-1